rnacentral:rRNA from 1 species
CAGCUCGUGACGUGAGUUGUUCUCUUAAGUGAGGUAACGAGCGCAACCCCCACUUCUGUGUUACUAUGUCACAGAAGACUGCCCAGCAUUAUUUUGUUGGGAGGAAGGAGGGGACGACGUCAAGUCAUCAUGAUGCUUAUAUCCGGGGCUACACACAUCCUACAAUGGGUGGUACAGAGGGUCGCAAUACCGCGAGGUGGAGCUAAUCCUUAAAACCUCCCUCAGUUGGGAUUGCAGGCUGAAACUCGCCUGCAUGAACUUGGAAUUGGUAGUAAUCGCAAAUCAGCAGAUUGCGGUGAAUACGUUCUCGCCUCUU